rnacentral:rRNA from 1 species
AUGGAAAAGCCCACGAUCCAUAACUUACUCACUCAGAUAUUUACACCCACCCCGGUGACAACAUUCCUUUCUAUUGCGCCUAAAAUCUCUAUUUCUGCAAAUAUGUCACGUGUUUCUAUUGUUGCUUCCUAUGGGGGUACAUUAAAACAAAUCUUCUUUUUCUGCAGCAUUGCUUCUAUGAUCUUAGGAGCACUGGCCGCCAUGGCCCAAACGAAAGUCAAAAGACCUCUAGCUCAUAGUUCGAUUGGACAUGUAGGUUAUAUUCGUACUGGUUUCUCAUGUGGAACCAUAGAAGGAAUUCAAUCACUACUAAUUGGUAUAUUUAUUUAUGCAUCAAUGACGAUAGAUGCAUUCGCCAUAGUUCCAGCAUUACGGCAAACCCGUGUCAAAUAUAUAGCGGAUUUGGGCGCUCUAGCCAAAAUGAAUCCUAUUUCGGCUAUGACCUUCUCCAUUACAAUGUUCUACGCAGGAAUACCCCCGCUAGCUGGCUUUUGUAGCAAAUUCUAUUUGUUCUUCGCUGCUUUGGGUUGUGGGGCUUACUUCCUACCAGUGGGAGUAGUGACUAGCGUUAUAGGUCGUUGGGCGGACGGAAGGUUGCCAUGA